rnacentral:ncRNA from 1 species
GUUGGGUACAUUAGGAGGACUGCCAGUGCCAAACUGGAGGAAGGAACGGGCAACGGUAGGUCAGUAUGCCCCGAAUGUGCUGGGCGACACGCGGGCUACAAUGGCCGAGACAGUGGGAUGCAACGCCGAGAGGCGACGCUAAUCUCCGAAACUCGGUCGUAGUUCGGAUUGCGGACUGAAACUCGUCCGCAUGAAGCUGGAUUCGGUAGUAAUCGCCGUUCAGAAGACGGCGGUGAAUACGUCCCUGCUCCUUGCACACACCGCCCGUCAAAGCACCCGAGUGGGGUCCGGAUGAGGCCCGGUUACCGGGUCGAAUCUGGGCUCCGCAAGGGGGCUUAAGUCGUAACAAGGUAGCCGUAGGGGAAUCUGCGGCUGGAUCACCUCCA